rnacentral:hammerhead_ribozyme from 1 species
AUCCAUCUGACGAGUUCCAAAUAGAACAAAACGCGCGCCCUGGAU